UACGGAGGGUGCGAGCGUUAAUCGGAAUUACUGGGCGUAAAGGGUUCGUAGGUGGUUAAUUAAGUUAUCUGUGAAAUCCCCCGGGCUCAACCUGGGCAGGUCAGAUAAUACUGGUUAACUCGAGUAUGGGAGAGGGUAGUGGAAUUUCCGGUGUAGCGGUGAAAUGCGUAGAGAUCGGAAAGGAACACCAGUGGCGAAGGCGGCUACCUGGCCUAAUACUGACAC
rnacentral:rRNA from 1 species